rnacentral:rRNA from 1 species
CUUCGGCCUGGCCGGCGAGUUUCGGACGGGUGAGUAAUGCAUCGGAACGUGCCCAGGAGUGGGGGAUAACGUAGCGAAAGUUACGCUAAUACCGCAUACGUACUGAGAUAGAAAGCGGGGGAUCGAAAGACCUCCGCUCAUGGAGCGGCCGAUGUCGGAUUAGCUAGUUGGUGGGGUAAAAGCUCACCAAGGCGACGAUCCGUAGCUGGUCUGAGAGGACGACCAGCCACACUGGGACUGAGACACGGCCCAGACUCCUACGGGAGGCAGCAGUGGGGAAUCUUGGGCAAUGGGCGAAAGCCUGACCCAGCAACGCCGCGUGAGGGACGAAGGCUUUCGAGUUGUAAACCUCUUUCGGUAGGAACGAUUGUGACGGUACCUACAGAAGAAGCACCGGCCAACUAUGUGCCAGCAGCCGCGGUGAUACAUAGGGUGCAAGCGUUAUUCGGAUUUAUUGGGCGUAAAGAGCUCGUAGGCGGUUCGAUCAGUCGGGUGUGAAACCCCCAGGCUUAACCUGGGGCAGCCACUCGAAACUGUCGUGACUAGAGUUUGGUAGGGGAUCACGGAAUUCCUGGUGUAGCGGUGGAAUGCGCAGAUAUCAGGAGGAACACCAGCAGCGAAGGCGGUGAUCUGGGCCAUACUGACGCUGAGGAGCGAAAGCGUGGGGAGCGAACAGGAUUAGAUACCCUGGUAGUCCACGCCGUAAACGGUGGGCACUAGGUGUGGGGACUUUUCAACGGUUUCCGCGCCGCAGCUAACGCAUUAAGUGCCCCGCCUGGGGAGUACGGCCGCAAGGCUAAAACUCAAGAAAUUGACGGGGGCCCGCACAAGCGGCGGAGCAUGCGGCUUAAUUCGAUGCACGCGAAAAACCUUACCAAGGCUUGACAUAUAGAGAAAAGUGGCAGAGAUGUCAUGUCCGCAAGGGCUCUAUACAGGUGGUGCAUGGUUGUCGUCAGCUCGUGUCGUGAGAUGUUGGGUUAAGUCCCGCAACGAGCGCAACCCUCGUUCUGUGUUACCAGCAUUUAGUUGGGGACUCACAGGAGACUGCCGGGGUCAACUCGGAGGAAGGUGGGGAUGACGUCAAUCAUCAUGCCCCUUAUGUCUUGGGCUGCACGCAUGCUACAUGGCCGGUACAAGUGCUGCGAAAUCGUAAGAUUUAGCGAAUCACAUAAAGCCGGUCUCGUUCGGAUUGAGGUCUCACACUCGACCUCAUGAAGUCG